rnacentral:rRNA from 1 species
GGUUGAUCCUGCCAGUAGUCAUAUGCUUGUCUCAAAGAUUAAGCCAUGCAAGUCUAAGUAUUAGUUUUAAUACAACGAAACUGCGAAUGGCUCAUUACAACAGUUAUAAUUUCCGUGAAUAUAAUUACUACACGGAUAACCGUGGUAAUUCUGGAGCUAAUACGUGCAUAACGCUAGACCUUACGGAAAGGCGGCACUUAUUAGAUUGAGAACUAACCUAUGCUUGCAUAGUUGUUUGAUGAUCCAUAAUAAGUUGGUGAAUCGCAUGGCUUCGGCUGGCGAUGGUUCACUU